rnacentral:rRNA from 1 species
UACUAGAGUAGCACUCGCAUAUCAAUAAGCGGAGGAAAAGAAACUAACAAGGAUUCCCCUAGUAACGGCGAGUGAAGCGGGAAGAGCUCAAAUUUGAAAUCUUAAAGGGUUUCCCUUUACGAAUUGUAGUUUAAAGAAGUGUUUUCUGUUGAGGUUUUGGUAAAAGUUCUUUGGAAUAGGACAUCAUAGAGGGUGAGAAUCCCGUAUUUGACCUUUACUUUCAACUUUGUGAUACACUUUCAAAGAGUCGGAUUGUUUGGGAAUGCAGUCCAAAAUGGGUGGUAAAUUUCAUCUAAAGCUAAAUAUUGGCGAGAGACCGAUAGCGAACAAGUACCGUGAGGGAAAGAUGAAAAGAACUUUGAAAAGAGAGUUAAACAGUACGUGAAAUUGUCAAAAGGGAAGCGUUUGACACCAGUGUUGUUUUUCUGAAAAUCAAUUAAAGAACUGUUUAUGCUAAGCUGUUUAGACUUUAUCAGCUAUCUGUUUAGUUUUGAGCUUUUCUUUAAUGCACUUUUCAGGUUAACAAGUCAACAUCAAUUUCUUUUGCUGUAAAAAAGCUUGAGGAAGGUGGCUUGAGAUUCGUCUUAAGUGUUUAUAGCCUCUUGCCUAUGCAGUCGGAGAGAUUGAGGUCUGCAGCGUAGAUCCUUCGGGGCUAAAUGCAUUUGUGCUAAGUUAUAGCAUUUUAUAGACAACUUGUUGACUAUGAUUUGUCUUGUAGCUUACUCGCUUAUGUUGUUUUACCUACGCUUAGGAUGUUGAUCUACAGAGCGAGAGU